rnacentral:ncRNA from 1 species
CUCUAAUAUUAUUCCAGAUUAUAUAUUUUACGGAAUAUAUACAGUGAAAUAUUAGAUAUUAAAGGGAUUUAUUCCUUCCUAAGAGAAAAUUUUUAAAAUAUAGUUUAAAUAUUGCAUAAGGCAGUAUAAAAUAUGAAACA